UACGUAGGUGGCGAGCGUUGUCCGGAAUUACUGGGUGUAAAGCGCGUGUAGGCGGGAGGCCAAGUCUGCGGGUGAAAUCGCUCGGCUCAACUGGGCGGGGUCCGUGGAAACUGGUCACCUGGAGGACGGUAGAGGCGAGUGGAAUUCCCGGUGUAGUGGUGAAAUGCGUAGAGAUCGGGAGGAACACCAGUGGCGAAGGCGGCUCGCUGGGCCGGACCGUGACGCUGAGA
rnacentral:rRNA from 1 species